AGCGAACGCUGGCGGCAGGCCUAACACAUGCAAGUCGAACGAACUCUUCGGAGUUAGUAGCGGACGGGUGAGUAACACGUGGGAACGUGCCUUUAGGUUCGGAAUAACUCAGGGAAACUUGUGCUAAUACCGAAUGUGCCCUUCGGGGGAAAGAUUUAUCGCCUUUAGAGCGGCCCGCGUCUGAUUAGCUAGUUGGUGAGGUAAAGGCUCACCAAGGCGACGAUCAGUAGCUGGUCUGAGAGGAUGAUCAGCCACAUUGGGACUGAGACACGGCCCAAACUCCUACGGGAGGCAGCAGUGGGGAAUCGUGCGCAAUGGGCGAAAGCCUGACGCAGCCAUGCCGCGUGAAUGAUGAAGGUCUUAGGAUUGUAAAAUUCUUUCACCGGGGACGAUAAUGACGGUACCCGGAGAAGAAGCCCCGGCUAACUUCGUG
rnacentral:rRNA from 1 species